rnacentral:rRNA from 1 species
UACGGGGGGGGCAAGCGUUGUUCGGAAUUACUGGGCGUAAAGCGUGCGCAGGCGGCUUUGCAAGACAGAUGUGAAAUCCCCCGGGCUUAACCUGGGAACUGCAUUUGUGACUGCAUGGCUGGAGUGCGGCAGAGGGGAUGGAAUUCCGCGUGUAGCAGUGAAAUGCGUAGAUAUGCGGAGGAACACCGAUGGCGAAGGCAAUCCCCUGGGCCUGCACUGACGCUCAUGCACGAAGCGUGGGAGCAAACAGG